GAGCUUGCUCCUUCAAGUUAGCGGCGGACGGGUGAGUAACACGUGGGCAACCUGCCUGUAAGACUGGGAUAACUUCGGGAAACCGGAGCUAAUACCGGAUGACACUUUGGAACUCCUGUUCCUUAGUUGAAAGAUGGCUUCGGCUAUCACUUACAGAUGGGCCCGCGGCGCAUUAGCUAGUUGGUGAGGUAACGGCUCACCAAGGCGACGAUGCGUAGCCGACCUGAGAGGGUGAUCGGCCACACUGGGACUGAGACACGGCCCAGACUCCUACGGGAGGCAGCAGUAGGGAAUCUUCCGCAAUGGACGAAAGUCUGACGGAGCAACGCCGCGUGAGCGAUGAAGGCCUUCGGGUCGUAAAGCUCUGUUGUUAGGGAAGAACAAGUGCUAGUUAAAUAAGCUGGCACCUUGACGGUACCUAACCAGAAAGCCACGGCUAACUACGUGCCAGCAGCCGCGGUAAUACGUAGGUGGCAAGCGUUGUCCGGAAUUAUUGGGCGUAAAGCGCGCGCAGGCGGUUUCUUAAGUCUGAUGUGAAAGCCCCCGGCUCAACCGGGGAGGGUCAUUGGAAACUGGGAAACUUGAGUGCAGAAGAGGAAAGUGGAAUUCCAAGUGUAGCGGUGAAAUGCGUAGAGAUUUGGAGGAACACCAGUGGC
rnacentral:rRNA from 1 species